rnacentral:lncRNA from 1 species
AAAAAACUUACAAAUAUAGAUUUAUUUCAUCUUCCAGCCAUUGUUCAACUACUAAAUUGUCUGUUUUACUUACUAGUACACUUGGUACAAUUAAAAAACCUGAUAAUAAAUUGUUCAAAUAAGGCCUUUGAAAAUAGUGGAAUUAAUUACUUUUGGAGUGUCAAAAACUCGUUGGAAGUUCUUGAUAAAUUGCAUGCAUAUAUUGGUGAUUUUGAAUCUGUUCAAAGUUUUGAUUUUUCUACCCUAUAUACCACUUUGCCUCAUAUUCUUAUUAAGAAAAAAUUCACAUCCCUAAUCAACUGGGCAUUUAAAAAGUCGGAAUGCGAGUACAUAUGUUCAAACUCUU